CUACGGGGGGCUGCAGCAGGGAAUAUUGCACAAUGGACGGAAGUCUGAUGCAGCGACGCCGCGUGGAUGAUGAAGGCCUUCGGGUUGUAAAAUCCUUUUCAGGGAGAAGAGGAAGGACGGUAUCCCUGGAAUAAGCGUCGGCUAACUACGUGCCAGCAGCCGCGGUAAUACGUAGGACGCAAGCGUUAUCCGGAUUUACUGGGCGUAAAGCGUCUGUAGGCGGUUUAGUAAGUUUGAUGUGAAAGCUCCAGGUUCAACUUGGAGAGUGCAUUGAAUACUGCUAGACUUGAGGGGAUCAGAGGAAAGCGGAAUUUCCGGUGUAGCGGUAAAAUGCGCAGAUAUCGGAAAGAACACCAGUGGCGAAGGCGGCUUUCUGGGAUCAACCUGACGCUGAGAGACGAAAGCUAGGGUAGCGAACAGGAUUAGAUACCCCAGUAGUC
rnacentral:rRNA from 1 species